rnacentral:rRNA from 1 species
AUAUCAAUAAGCGGAGGAAAAGAAACUAACCAGGAUUCCCCUAGUAACGGCGAGCGAACCGGGAAUAGCCCAACUUGAAAAUCUCCCUCUGGAGAAUUGUAGUCUAGAGAAGCGCCCUCUGCGGCGAGCAGAGCCCAAGUCCGCUGGAAGGCGGCGUCAGAGAGGGUGAGAACCCCGUCGGCCCUGUCUUAGCUGCUCCACGAGGUGCUUUCCACGAGUCGGGUUGUUUGGGAAUGCAGCCCUAAUUGGGAGGUAAAUCCCUUCUAAGGCUAAAUACUGGCGAGAGACCGAUAGCGAACAAGUACCGUGAGGGAAAGAUGAAAAGAACUUUGAAAAGAGAGUUAAAAAGUGCUUGAAAUUGUUGAGGGGGAAGCGUUUGGAAGCCGUGUGUGCGCCCAGGCUUAUGCGCCUUUAACGAGUCGCUGUAUGUGCUGGGUGCUGGUCAGCUCGGGUUACUCGGGCGGGACAACAGCAGGGGUUGAUACCCUGCCGAUGCCGCCCGGGGGACCAAGGUGUGAUGGUCGCUCUGUCCUUCGGGAACUGCGUCCACAAGGAGCUGGCAGAAGGCUUUCAACCGG